AUGCCUGUUAACAAAUCAUCUGCAAUUAAUAAGUUUGGAGGAAUAUCUUCUCCUUAUCGUGAGGAACUCUUGAAAUUUAAUUUUCAGAACUCAAGUAAAAAUAAGAGUCAUAAAUCAAGGUCAUUAUUAUUAAUUAGAGAAAAGUUCAUCUUGAAAUUCAAUCAAACACAGAAUCCAGUAGAGAAGAAAGAACUAUUGGAACAAGCGAGAAAAAACAUUCUCAGAUGUAAGAGAAAAUUGGGUCUCAGUUCCUUGGGUUGUGGGAAGCAUGUGCAUCUUCCUUUUGCAUGGACUGAAGUAAUAUAUCUGGCGCAAUGCAAAGGAGAAAUCCAAGAUGAAUCAGUUUUAUAUAGACUCUGUUGUGAUGCAUUCCUGAAGGACUUUUUAUAUUCUGUUGAGAUAAAGCUGACAAAGAUUGGAUAUUUGAUCUUCUUACGACUUUUUAUAUUUUUCCUCCAUGGUCAACUAGCAAAUUUUAAAGGACAUUUACUUAGGCUUCAACCGUAUUCAUAUGCACUUUUUUCCUCUGGAGAGUCAUAUCGCAAGUAUCCAAACAUCUUUUCAAAUAUCCAGUUCAUCCUGAAAACGUUAGAAAUUAUAUGCGAAAGAGAACUCCUUUCUGAAUCAGGUUUUAGCACUGGGGAAAAUAAGGAAGGAUUUGAGGACAAAGAUUCUGAUAUGGCACACUUGCAAUGUAAUCAUGGAAGCUAUGAAGUUAACCCCCUGCUCUGGCAUUGUGUUGCUUGUUGGUUUUGUGUUCAGAGUAAUAGUCCUCAGCUGAGUAGUGUGCUUGAGCAUCUCAUCUUGCAUAAAAUGCAGCUUCAGAAGAAAUGCUGGUUGGAUUUGGUACUGGCCUUGCUGGUCCUUGGGGAAGCUGCCAAACUAAAUAUGGCCUGCUUGAAAACUUUCAUGGACCUAAUGAGAGAUUUUCUUUUAAGCAUUAUGUCUGUUGAGAAACAGAAGGAAAGGUGCACGGGAGAUGAUCUCUCCUGGGCCUGGAGUGUAGUUCAUACAUACACAACGAUCAUUGCAGAGGUCUGUUUGUAUGCGGCCACAUCAGAUUUGCGGAAAACUGCCUUUCUUGGUCUCUGUGGAUGUAAACGUCCACAAAAAAAUAUUUUACUCAUUGACAAAUCGGAAGAGCCAGAAUUACAGGAAACAAGUAUUUUAAGUCUUUUGGAAUUCUUCUCUUCAAAAAUAUCAGAUAAUUAGAAUUUCUUCUCAUUCAUCCACUGAACUACCGUAGUAUAUUCUUCCCAACUGUCUUACAUUCUACCAAAUAGUGCCUAUUUUUCUUCUCAAAACUAAAGGUAAUUUUAUCACUGUAUUUAUGGAGGGAUAACAGAAUAAAAUAUUAUUAUUUUUAAAAGGGUAAGACAUAAUAUUUUGAGUUCUUUUAGAUGGAUUAAACUUUAUACAUUUAUUAUGAAAAUAUUACAGUGGAUAUAUUGUUUUAAUCUGUUAUUUAUGACUCUGGCUUUCAUUAAGUUGUGAGAUAACUGAGACUAGAGAAUCAUUUCUGAAUUACAUUUGUGUUAACCAAGAAUCUAACAUAGUAGCAUGUAAUGAGUGGGCAAAUAAUGAUUGUGAAUUUAUCAUGUAAUUGAAUAAAUCACUGUAUUUCAGUUACAAUUAUAAGAUUUUGAAAUUAUAGAAUGAGGCAAAAUUAUCUUUCCUCAGAAACAUAAUUUACUGAUUUGGGGCAAAUUGUGCUUGCAUGUAAUUUUAAAUAAUAAGACUUCACUAGCAGAUAUUAAUUUCACUCCUAAAAACUUUCUCACUAUUUUUAAAUUACAUACGGUACUCUUUUGCUUUAAUGCACAUAUCGGAACUUAUCAUAUCUGAAUGCCAUUUGCUUGCUUGCACAUUUCUUACUUUUCAUCAUUAUAAUAUUUUAAUUUUUAUUGGUGCAAAUUUUAAACACAAAUUUCUUAUUAGUACACAAAUUAUAUUUUUCUAGUGUUUUCAAUUUUGAUUAAGUGAAGAAAUAACCAUUCAUUUAUUUUGCUAUUGACAUUUUAAUUAUUCAUGAUGGUCAGGAAUCUUCCUAUACUGAACUUCAACUCAAGAUUUAGACUGCUCCUAAAAAACCUAAUCUGUAGGCUUUCAGCUCUUUUCUAGCUGUGUGAAUGCUUUCUGAUUCUUUCACUUCCUUGAUGUUGGCUCCAGAAGAAAUUCCUCUAUGAGGAGAACCUUUACUCCCAGAAGCCUCUUGGCUUCUCUUUAGCUAUGGAUACCUGCUCUCUGGCAUAACUACAUGGUAAUUGGAUUGCAUCAUUCUGAGUACACUCAAAAUUUUGUUCCUCUGUGGGCUGGGGAUUUAGCUUAGUGGUUCUACUGCCUGCCUCACAAGCGGAAAGACCUGAGUUUGAUCCCUGGUACCAAAAAAAAAAAAAAAAAAAUUUGUUCCUCCUUAUAAGCUUGACUUUUUUCCCCUAGUUAGUUGAUAAUGUCAUCAAAUUUAUUUAUUCAUUGUUGAUAGUUUUUCUUUUUAAGUUUCCUAUCUUCUCCUAAAGAUUUUAUUUUGAUAGCCCAGAAUUUGAGUGAAUUCUUAAAAGACACUGUGCUUUUCUGGUUAGUAUCUACCACUUAACACUGCUCAACUUUCUGGAAAGCACACCCCAACUCUUUGUAACUCGAAUAUUGUUCUUUUUCUUCAUAAUGAUGUCAACAGCAAACUGACUAAAAAUCUUCUUUUCAUUUAUGUGCAUUUCCUUCUUUUUUCCACAUUAACAUAUCUUAUUGUAUAUUUUAUAUUUCAUUAUUGAUGAUUAUUGUUUUUUAAACAUAUUAUUGGUAUAUGUUUGCAAUACAUAAUAUUUACAUUAAUUUGGGGGACUAUCACAUUCCUCUCAACACCUGAUUCCCUUUCCCAUCUCCGAAAAGUCUAUCUCUCUGUUUCCUACCAUCUCUACUUUAUUUCACUCUUUAAUUUAUUCAUAUUUUGAGUUUCUCAUGUAAGAGAAAUCAUGCUAUAUUUAACUUUCUGGAUUCGACUUAUUUUAUGUAACAUUAUUGUGUUAAGAUCCAUCAAUUUUCCUGCAAAUGACAUGAAUUCAUUCUUCUUUAUGCCUGAAUACAAUUCCAUUUUGCAUGUAUAGUAUGUACACUAUCUAUCUCUAUCUAUAUCACAUUUUCAUUGUCUCUUUUUCCAUUGGUGGGAACCUAGCCUGUUUCCAGGGCAUAGCUAUUGUGAAUUGUGGUCCUGUAAACAUGAGUAUGCAUGUAUCACUACAGUAUGAUGACUAGCUUUUGGAAAUUUACCCUGGAGAGGAAUAGCUGGGUCAAAUUGGGUUUUUAAUUUUAAUUUUUUUGAAGAAUCUCCACAUCGAUUUCCAUAGUGAUUGUACUAGUUUACAUUCUCAGCGACAAUGUAAAAGAGUUCCUUUCCCCUCACAUCUUUAACAUUUGUUGUUCUUAGAAGAGAUGUGUUGCUCUUCUUUUGUAUUCUUGUUGAUAGCCAUUCUGACUAGUGUAAGAUGGAAACCAGAGUUGUUUUGAUUUUCAUUUUCCUAAUGAUUAAAUGUGAACUCAGACUUGCCAAGCGUAUAGUAACCUGUGGCCACUUUUUUCUCAUCUCUGUUGAUCUGAGUGAGCACACUUGUUUCUGUUUGAUUUGAAUUCAGUACCAAGGGAAAAAUAUAACAUCUGAAAUGAGCAAACACUGAGUUUCUCAUUUGUCCCCAGGAAGAGAGCCACCUAUGUACUUAUACAAUAAGCAACAGUCUUAUAAAUGGUUAUUAUUUUUCUGUAAUUAUUUCUUAUUGAACAAAGCUUUUUAGGAGUUUCUGAAUCUCAUUGUACCAACCAUUAGACAAUGUUAUGGAUAAAGGAGCCAUCUUUACAUCUCAUGUAUUUUCAGCAUUUUAUUCUUUAAAUGGAUAGUGAUAGAGAGGUAAAAGGCAAUAAUCACCAACAGAUUGGAUUCUAGAAGAUUUCAUUGCACAUCGAUAAGAGUAAAGUCUUUGUAAAUAGGGAAGGGUGGAGGGGGUGAAGGGAGGGCUAGGAAUGGGGAAAAAAUAAGAACCAAGAUGUAUCAUUAAAGGUACAAGUUCUCAAUGAGAAAUGUAAAUGUGUUGUAUACCUAAAAUGUACCAAUAAAAGAAUUUAAGAAAAAAGAAAGUUUCCGAGAGACAAUGGAUGGCCUUGUUUUCACUGAUACUCUUCUUAUGAUUGUUCUUGAACUCAGCAAUUAAAUGAUUAACCAAUGGUUUGUUAGUGUUUUCUCAACACAAGUGGACAGGUAAUUGUUUCUAGCUCUGAAUUUCCAUUAAAGAUUUGAUCUGCAAUAAGAAAGAUAGAUGCAUCAAAAGUGCUCCAUACACAGACCCAAGUCAACCC
rnacentral:lncRNA from 1 species